UAAACUUUUUCGAUUUUUUGACCCUACUUUUAAAUCCUGUAUUAUCUUAAUUAUUAUUAAAGCAUUUCAAGAAAGUAUAAAUAAACUCUGUGUUAUUUGAAAUUUAAUUUAGUUAAAUAACUAUUUUUUUACAACCAUACAAAAGAUAAUUUAUAUAAAUAAAAUUGUGGAUUGUCAUUAUCUCAAAAUUCUCUAAUUAGAAAUAAUUAACUGCCAUUUAGUUUAAGUUUUUAAAACAAUACUACUUAAAUAAUAUUUUUCAUAGCUGGAUACUAACCCGGGUUUGUAAUCUUUUUAUUUACUUUUUUAACAUAAUAUUUAUAUCUUUAAACAGAUAAUUAUUAUGUUUAAAAUUAAUUAUAAAUUUUAAUUUAAAUUUAAAGUA
rnacentral:rRNA from 1 species